rnacentral:rRNA from 1 species
GACGAACGCUGGCGGCGUGCCUAAUACAUGCAAGUAGAACGCUGAAGGAGGAGCUUGCUUCUCCGGAUGAGUUGCGAACGGGUGAGUAACGCGUAGGUAACCUGCCUGGUAGCGGGGGAUAACUAUUGGAAACGAUAGCUAAUACCGCAUAACAGUAGAUAUUGCAUGAUAUCUGCUUAAAAGGUGCAAUUGCAUCACUACCAGAUGGACCUGCGUUGUAUUAGCUAGUUGGUGGGGUAACGGCUCACCAAGGCGACGAUACAUAGCCGACCUGAGAGGGUGAUCGGCCACACUGGGACUGAGACACGGCCCAGACUCCUACGGGAGGCAGCAGUAGGGAAUCUUCGGCAAUGGACGGAAGUCUGACCGAGCAACGCCGCGUGAGUGAAGAAGGUUUUCGGAUCGUAAAGCUCUGGGGUAAGAGAAGAACGAGUGUGAGAGUGGAAAGUUCACAC